rnacentral:tRNA from 1 species
GCCAAUGUAGCUCAAUUGGAAGAGCAGCUGUCUUGUAAACAGUAGGUUGGAGGUUCGACUCCUUUCAUUGGCACCA